GCCCAGCUUGCUGGGUGGAUUAGUGGCGAACGGGUGAGUAACACGUGAGUAACCUGCCCUUGACUCUGGGAUAAGCGUUGGAAACGACGUCUAAUACCGGAUACGAGCUUCCACCGCAUGGUGAGUUGCUGGAAAGAAUUUUGGUCAAGGAUGGACUCGCGGCCUAUCAGCUUGUUGGUGAGGUAAUGGCUCACCAAGGCGACGACGGGUAGCCGGCCUGAGAGGGUGACCGGCCACACUGGGACUGAGACACGGCCCAGACUCCUACGGGAGGCAGCAGUGGGGAAUAUUGCACAAUGGGCGAAAGCCUGAUGCAGCAACGCCGCGUGAGGGACGACGGCCUUCGGGUUGUAAACCUCUUUUAGCAGGGAAGAAGCGAAAGUGACGGUACCUGCAGAAAAAGCACCGGCUAACUACGUGCCAGCAGCCGCGGUAAUACGUAGGGUGCAAGCGUUGUCCGGAAUUAUUGGGCGUAAAGAGCUCGUAGGCGGUUUGUCGCGUCUGCUGUGAAAUCCCGAGGCUCAACCUCGGGUCUGCAGUGGGUACGGGCAGACUAGAGUGCGGUAGGGGAGAUUGGAAUUCCUGGUGUAGCGGUGGAAUGCGCAGAUAUCAGGAGGAACACCGAUGGCGAAGGCAGAUCUCUGGGCCGCUACUGACGCUGAG
rnacentral:rRNA from 1 species